rnacentral:tRNA from 1 species
GCCUCCAUAGCUCAGUUAGGUAGAGCACCCGGCUGUUAACCGGGCGGUCGCAUGUUCGAGAUUCUAAUUUUGGCU